GAUGAACGCUGGCGGCGUGCCUAAUACAUGCAAGUCGAGCGAACGGACGAGAAGCUUGCUUUUCUGAUGUUAGCGGCGGACGGGUGAGUAACACGUGGAUAACCUACCUAUAAGACUGGGAUAACUUCGGGAAACCGGAGCUAAUACCGGAUAAUAUUUUGAACCGCAUGGUUCAAAAGUGAAAGACGGUCUUUCUGUCACUUAUAGAUGGAUCCGCGCUGCAUUAGCUAGUUGGUAAGGUAACGGCUUACCAAGGCAACGAUGCAUAGCCGACCUGAGAGGGGGAUCGGCCACACUGGAACUGAGACACGGUCCAGACGCCUACGGGAGGCAGCAGUAGGGAAUCUUCCGCAAUGGGCGAAAGCAUGACGGAGCAACGCCGCGUGAGUGAUGAAGGUCUUCGGAUCGUAAAACUCUGUUAUUAGGGAAGAACAGAUGUGUAAGGAACUGUGCACAGCGUGACGGUACCGAAUCAGAAAGCCACGGCUAACUACGUG
rnacentral:rRNA from 1 species